AACAAUUCUUGAAAUAACAGCUAUUAUAUAAAAGAUUUAUUAUUGUUGUUAUGUAAAAAUUAAAGUAAUGUGCCAUAUGUUCAUUUAGAAUAAAAAAAAAGCUUACAGAAUUGGCUAAGGCAGCAUGCAUUUAUUGCAACAUCGAGAUGGGGAGGUGUUGAUGAAUGCUGACACAAGGAGGGGAGGUCAGCCAAGUGUGUAUGCAUACAAAAUAUUUCAUUUAUUUUGGAAUAUUCUGUUGUUAAUUGACAUUUAUUGUACAUAUGGGGAGGAGAGGCAAUGAUGAUGACAAAUUUUAUACAGAAAGGGGGUGGGAAUAAAAAAUGAAGCAAAAUCUGUCAUUGCAAUAUGUGAAAGUCACCUAACAACUUAGGAAAUUCACAGAUCAUAUGAGUAAUGUUUACUGCAGUUAACUAUAUUUUUAUCUGUGCUAUAUAGAAAAUGAAAGCUGCCUGUACUGUACAAUAUGAUUUAGUUGCAAUUUAAAAGUUUUUCUUCAGUAUAAGAAAGAUAAUGUUACAAAUUUCAUUUAAUUUUAAUUUCUUUUUCUAAAGUAAGCCUUAAAAUUGUCACAUGACACGUGGUGAAUGAUAAUUCAUCCAUGUGACAAACUGUUAUGCAAAAGUUUAACAAUCCAGAACUAAAUACAUAAAUUUAAUACUAUUAAAUCACUACUUCCACCAAUGAAUAUGUGAUACUGAUGAGGAUUAUUGAAUCAAAAUGCAUUUAUAUUACAAUAAAGACGUUGAAGACAAGUAAAUUGGUUUUUACUUUGUUAUUCUUGGAAUUUUGUAAUAGUUAGGAAAAUAUGUGUAUUUCUUGUAAAGUUGAGAAAUUCAUUCAUUUUUAAAUUUCAGGGUUCCCACAGGUCCAGAAAUCUGGACAAAGUUCUUGAAUGUCAAAAAAUUACACAAAGGAUGGGAAUGUCAACAACAUCCAGGUAAAGUCCUGGAACAAUGUUAAAGAAGCACUAUUCUUUAACAUGCAGGUUGCAUGCCUGAAAAAGUGCACACAAAUAUUUAGAGCAUAUUCCUAAAUCAUUUCUAAACUUCAGUAAGGGACGAUGAUACUAGAUGUACAGAAAUUAUGUUUGAUGUACAGUAUAACUGUUAUCUUGGAAAAAGGAUUAUAUUCUUUGUUAACACUUGGAAUUCAUGCUGUUAUCAAGUGUUGCCAAUGAAGAACUCUAGCUUAUUUGGUCCUAGUGUUAAGUUAUACAGUUAUCAUAAAGUUUCAGAAGCAUUUCUCCAGAAGAUUAUGGCUCUCUUUGUGGCUUCACACUACAAAAAUUCUCCAAACGAUUUGCAACUUAUGUCUGAUGCACCAGCC